GGCCACGUAAACGCCAUAAACUAAUACGAUAAAACGGCGGGGCACCUUAAACCACGAACGAGUUUAACAAAUUAGGAACUCCGUCCUGUGGAACGUCUUCCGCCCGUCUCCUCACCCUUCACGAACCGACUUUUUAAUCGGGGAUUGCAAAUAUCCCUUGUUGCCGCACACCACUUUUAAUGGCGCACCACAUGUUCCUGAUCGAGCAGCUACCAUCAGUGUCGAGAUGAGAAACAUGCGAAGAAGUCCCGUAAGCUCCAUACGUCCAUCUUGAAACAAUAAUUUUCCUAAUCGUUGGAUUGGCACACGCGGUUCCAUAAGAUGGCCACUCAGAUCUCC